AGUUUCCGAUGCCAUUCCUCUCCAGAGAGAGUGGAGCUUUGCUCGGACAAAUGCGGUGCUCGCCUUGCUCUACCGCAAAUUGUUUGUGCCCUUCAAGCCGGAGGAGUUGGUCCGCCAUUUGCAGCACGUCCUGGAGACGAGCGAAGUCAACUGGCAUCACGUCCUCUCCUGCGUUUCCACGCUGCUGGUCUGCCAGUCGGGAGCCGCACCACUGAUUAAAGACUUCCUGAGCCAUCUGCUGAAGAAAGGCUUUGAGGACUAUGACUUGGAAAGCAUGAUGACGGCGUUCCUGAUCGCGCGCCAGGCUGGCCUGGAGGGUCCUGCCGUUUUCAUGCCUUACGCAGAAUGGUUUAAGGUAAGAGCCUAAGAUAGAUCAUGAGUUCUGACAUUAAAUUGCCUCAUUUAUGGUCCUAACCAUACAGGUUUGCAUUGGCGGACCCAAAGAGACAUCUCAGGAAUUUGCUAUGUCCUCUGCCACAAUUACCCAUUGAAUUUUGACUUGUGAGUUUUAACCUGCUUUAUACUAGUGUGGUCUUGUGAGUAUUUUUUUUUUUGGCCCAGUUCCUUUUAGGAGCCAAUCCUGGAUUUUACUAAAGUAUGACUAUUUUACCGUGUUUCCCCGAAAAUAAGACAGUGUCUUAUAUUAUUUUUUACUCCCAAAGAUGCGCUAGGUCUUAUUUUCAGGGGAUGUCUUAUUUUUCUAUGAAGAAGAAUUCAUAUCCAUUGUUGAACAAAAAAAAAUGAACAUUUAUUCUAUACUGUACAGAAGUUGUCAUCACAAACCAACAUAACUAAACCAGACAAACUGUGACCCCUGUCAAGAAUUUCUUGUUACUACCAUUAUUUACAUAUACAACUGGUAUGUAAGCCGCCCCAAGUCCCUCUGGGGAGAUGGAGGCGGGGUAUAAAAAUAAAAUAAUAAUAAUUAUUAUUAUUUUAUUUUAUUGUAUGACGCAGCAAACAAGAUAGAUAUGCUGGAUUUCGUAUCACAAAAUCACAAGUCAAACACUUCCCAAGUGUCUAGGACUGUGUGAUGUAUAUUAUUAUUAUUAUUAUUAUUAUUAUUAUUAUUAUUAUUAUUAUUAUUAUUAUUUUAUUAUGACACAGCAAACAAGAUAGAUAUGCUGGAUUUCGUAUUGCAAAAUCACAAGUCGAACACUUCCCAAGUGUCUAGGACUGUGUGAUACAUUAUUAUUAUUAUUAUUAUUAUGUACAUUUACCAACCCUGCAUGCUACGGUGUUUUGUUUGACGGGCGCCGGGCAUGCUUCCAAACAAAAACUUUGCUAGGUCUUACUUUCAGGGGAGGCCUUAUAUUUAGCAAUUUAGCAAAACCUCUACUAGGUCUUAUUUUUUGGGGAUGUCUUACUUUCAGGGAAACAGGGUAUGUGAUCUUAUUAGUUUUUAUGAUCUAUUCUAUUGUUGAUUGAUUUGUUUUAUUGUUGUGUUUUUACAUUGUUUGUUUAUCCUGGGCUUGGCCCCAUGUAAGCCGCCCCAAGUCCCUUUGGGGAGAUGGGGCUGGGUAUAAAAAUAAAAAUAAAAUAAUAAGAAUAA